AUCUAAUUUAAAAAUUAAAAAAAAAAAAAAGGAGCUCCAGACUGCUUUGAGUCUGAAGACCAGCUUUGUCUGAGGAAUCUACUGGACUUCCAGACGGGAAGCAGUCCAUUCCAGGUGGCCCCGGGUGUACGUGUGCUUGAGCACUGAGCUUCUUAAAGCUUUUAUCCCACGUGAGGAGAACUGAAGUUCCAACCACAAUGGAGCCCACAGCGCCUGCUCCCACCGACUCAGUGGGUCGCUCAUCAUGUUGGAGGACACGACAUGAAGAAAUGGGUUCUCCUCCAGCUCAAACAAUUCAGAAGGCACACACUCGGUUAAGACACAGUGAGAACAAGCCAGAACAGAACAGGACUCAUUCAAGGCGGUGCCUGAGCAGGUGAAGGAGCUUCCUGGGCAAACCUGGAGCCUCAGUCUCUAGAGCCCACAUAAAGGUGGAAAGAGAGAGGCUGAAGGGAAAGUUCCCUGAGUUUAACAAGUACUAGCUGUUCUUCCAGAGGACCAAGGCUCAGUUCCCUCGAGCCAGCUUACAACUGUCUGAUGCCCUGUUCUGGCUUCCUCAGGGACCAUAUGCAUGCAUGCAAAGUCAUGCAUGUGGACAGAACCCCUAUGCACAUAAAAUAAGAGUGAGAAAAGGAAAACCAGCUUUACAAAGCUCUCCUCUGACCUCGUGACAGUUUGGUCCCUUCUAGACUCAGACAAAUGCCAUAU
rnacentral:lncRNA from 1 species